UAAGACGAGGGAUCCUAGCGUUGUUCGGAAUCAUUGGGCGUAAAGAGGGCGUAGGUGGCUAUUUAAGUCAGUUGUGAAAGCCUGGGGCUCAACCCCAGAAGUGCAAUUGAUACUAUUUAGCUUGAGUGUGGAAAAGGUAACUAGAAUUCCUGGUGUAGUGGUAAAAUACGUAGAUAUCAGGAGGAAUGCCGGUUGCGAAGGCGGGUUACUAGUCCAACACUGACACUGAGGCCCGAAAGCGUGGGGAUCAAACAGG
rnacentral:rRNA from 1 species